rnacentral:rRNA from 1 species
GAAAAGAAACCAACAGGGAUUGCCUCAGUAACGGCGAGUGAAGCGGCAAAAGCUCAAAUUUGAAAUCUGGCGCCCACCAGCGUCCGAGUUGUACUUUGGAGAGGCAUCUUCGUGAGGGGUCCAGCCUAUGUUCCUUGGAACAGGGCGUCACAGAGGGUGAGAAUCCCGUUCGUGGCUGGAUACCCCUUGUAGUAUGUAGUGUCUUCAAUGAGUCGAGUUGUUUGGGAAUGCAGCUCAAAAUGGGUGGUAAAUUUCAUCUAAAGCUAAAUAUUGGCGAGAGACCGAUAGCGCACAAGUAGAGUGAUCGAAAGAUGAAAAGCACUUUGAAAAUAGAGUCAAACAGUACGUGAAAUUGUUGAAAGGGAAGCGCUUGAGAUCAGAGUCAGCCUUUGACAAACAACAUUCCAUCUGGAUAGUGCACUUGUCAUUGGCUGGGCCAGCAUCAGUUGGGACGGUAGGAUAAAGGCCUUGGGAAUGUGACUCCCUUCCGGAGUGUUAUAGCCCCUGGUGUCAUGCUGCCUGUCCUGACUGUGGACCGUGCUUCGGCUUGGAUGCUGGCUUAAUGGUCUUCAGCGGCCCGUCUGGAAAAACACGGA